rnacentral:tRNA from 1 species
UCCUUGAUAGUCUAGUGGUCAGGAUAUCUGCUUGUCAUCGUUCUCAAUCGAAUGAGCUCGCAGGGGACCUGGGUUCAAUUCCCAGUCAGGGAG